rnacentral:lncRNA from 1 species
GUAGGUAAACUCCAGCGGCUUCAUGUUACCUCCUCACAUCUCUGUCAACAAAACAUUAAAGUAACCAUCCUGUUUCUGGCAGGAAAAAGCCUAGACUGCUGCAGCAUCACAGACCGGGUUUUUAAGCAAAAGGUCAAUGGCUGCAACCUAAAGCAUCAACAAGAAAAGCCUCCAUGCCUGCUGUUCCUAGAGUUAACUGAGCCCAGAAUUGGCGGAAUGGAGUUAGUAGCAGAGGAUGAAGAAUCUGCAAAUAUUAAAGGAAGGCAUUUGCAGGUAAUGUGAUCACCAGGAGCACCCCAUAAAUAUAACAGAAGCAAAGAGAGCUGAAAACUUUGAUCCACCUACAGAACAAAUCAUGUUUGACAUGGAAAAGAACUCACCAAGGAGCAAAUGAUUGAUUACCAAGAAAGAAAGAGUAUCAAAGAGGAAACAGCAGAAGAAAACGAUACAGUAUGUGGAUGCUAUAGAAACUUCUUGCUUUUAUAAUUUAGUGCAUCCUUCCUGGUUUUAGUGAGGGGAGUGUUAGUGUAGUGUGACAGGAGCAAAGACCAGACAUAAUAAAUGAGAAAGAGUGCUGUUCUGAUUGUCUUAAAUCAAGAUGUAAUCCCUUCACAUCACAGACCUAAUCCCUUUAAGAUGAAGCUUUUGAGGUUACACUAUUUAGAACAGUACUCUUGAUCUUAUCACUGUAAACACAAAAACCAAAAAUAGUGGGAGGAAGACUGCAGAUUUUGUACAUUUCAACUGUUGGGCUCAGAAAUUUAUUUUAUCCUUAUAUGCGCUUUCCCUUUUUUGCUUUUCCUCAGUGAAGAAGACAGUUUUUCCUUAUGACAGUUUUCACUUAUGAAUUGGCUCACAAUCCUUUGAUUUUAUAACUUGAAUCUCUGGAAAUUAUAAGAAAUCUCAUCACCAUAGACAUUGGAUGAGCACACAUGGGAGUUCCAAGUUCAUUAUUGCCACUGAUGUAGAAAAGAGUAAAUUGGAGUGGGGGAAGUUCAAGGA